rnacentral:rRNA from 1 species
AUUGAACGCUGGCGGCAGGCUUAACACAUGCAAGUCGAGCGAGCGGCGGACGGGUGAGUAAUGUCUGGGAAACUGCCUGAUGGAGGGGGAUAACUACUGGAAACGGUAGCUAAUACCGCAUACCAUCAGAUGUACCCAGAUGGGAUUAGCUCGUAGGUGGGGUAAUGGCUCACCUAGGCGACGAUCCCUAUCUGGUCUGAGAGGAUGACCAGCCACACUGGAACUGUGACACGGCCCAGCACCCGACGGGAGGCAGCAGUGGUGAAUAUUGCACAUGGGGCGCAAGCCGGAUGCAGCCAGGCCGCGUGUGUGAAGAAGGCCUUAGGGUUGUAAAGCACUUUCAGCGAUGAGGCGUUACUCGCAGAAGAAGCACCGGCUAACUCCGUGCCAGCAGCGGCGGUAAUAC